rnacentral:lncRNA from 1 species
UUUGGUUGGUGUAGGUGUUUUUUAUGGAUGUACCUGGUUGCGAUGAAGCUAAACAAGAAAUAAUUCUAUCACUUAUUACCUUUGUCCUUCAAAUUUGAGUAUAGGCCUGCGAAAUAAUGAAUAUUUGUGUCUCAUUGCUCCAGCAUGGUCAAUAAAGAUAUGUUGACCCAGGAAAUGUGGGUUUAUCAUAGGUCCUACUGUAUACGUUGAUAUAUGAAAUAUGAUAUUUACGGUUAUAUGCUAUCACUUAUUGCCUUUGUCCUUUGCAUUGAGUAUAGGCCUGUGAAAUAAUGGUGUAUUUGUGUGUUGAUUCGUCUGUUUUCCUUCAUGUUCUGGUUCUAAGGUACCAGGACAGACCCAGAGUUAUUUGUAAAAAAAUGCGUUCCAAUGUACCAAUAUUUUGUAUCCUUUCUAAUGCUUAAAAAAGAGGCGAAUAAUUCUUUUAUAAUAUGUAAUAUAUGACAUGUGUAACACACCUUAAGAGACUACUAAGUUAUCCUGUAUAAUUGGCACGCCCUACUUUUGUAGUAAUAAAUAUAUCAGGUGCUGCUCCAUACAGGUGAUACAUUGCAUUUACCAUAGUAUUUGAUUACAUAUGAUAACAUAAAAUCUGUUUUUUCCUUAGCGGUUCGGCACAUUAGUACAUAGAAACAGCGUACAGGCAAAUUGAUUAGAUGCAUUAGUUAAGAACACUGAUUUUUUUGGAAAGCUUCAUCAUGACAUCGAUAUUGGUUUCGCCUUACUACCACUCAGAGGUUGGAUGGAGCAUCGAGGAUUUCAGGCUUGGGGUGGCCACGUGUUGCAGGAUAGCAGGAAGAGUUGGAUGUGUUCUGCAGAGACGAGGUGAUCAAUGUCGUUGCCGCCAGGUAGCUGAAGUACAAAACUUCUAAAUUUCCUCAUUUAUUUAUCCUCAUAGUUGGUUCCCUUGAUACUUUUUCUUAGAAACAUGAUCAAAGAUACAAAAAGUUUUACUUCUCAAGCAGAAGUGGCAGUAUAGUGUGCAUGUCGUAUUGCAAGUAGAUUUUAUAGAUACCAAUAGAAAUAAUAACUUGGGAUUUAUUUCUGUUCAACCUCUGUGAUCUAGAUGAGCAAAGCAACAACUUUGGCUUUAUUUCUUUGUGAUGUAGAUGAGAAAAAUAGUACCUUGGAUUUUAAUUCUAUUCUCUAUGAUGUAGAUUAGCAAGAUUUCUAACCAACAAAGUAAUUUAUUUUAGUAUGGUUUUGUCACUAUGAUUGGUAAUAUGAAGUUUAUUUAUUCUAGGUUCCUAUCUUUAGACAGUCACAUCCACGUUCGUACUUUUAGAAUAGUUGUUGCAACGGGGAAGAGCAUUUUUGCAAUAGCAAGAUAUCAGGACCCAAUGGGCAUAGGCCGAACCAACCACCAUCACUAUUGCUUCAGGAUUAGAUAGCCAACUUCCACUCACGAGGUGAGUUUGCUUACUCUACUUUCAGUGUACUGUGCAGAUAUGUUGGUUAGAAAUUUUGCUAUGUGUCUGUCAAGUUGAUUAGAUACGAAAAAUAUGCUCUAUAAUACCCACAUAAUACUUGUUUAAAUUGGCUUUUCCCUGGUUCAUCAGUGCACACAUGAAACCGGUAAUAAGAAGAGAAUCACCUGAUUUUUUAUAGUCUAUUUUAGUAAGCAUGUUCAUAAUAUUAGGAUAGUUUAAUUUGAGAACAAUCGGCUGGAGGAACGAUGUAAUUUGAUACUCUGUUAUGUUGAUCUCCAGAGAAAUUUGGUUUUUGGUUUUUCAUUGAUGUACGUUAAUCUGUUGUGAAUCUUGUUUGCUUGCACCAAUUAUAUGUGUAACAAUUAGAGGGGAACUUUUGGAACUCAUACAUUCUAUUUCAGUUAAUGUUCAAAGCAACUUUCCUGUGUGAAUCUGAUAAUCUUACUGAAACCUGUGUUUCAUUGUGUAUAUUCAGCCUCUCGAGUCAAGUUUCAGACGAUCAUGUAUCCCCUUGAUAUUCACUGGAUGGAAUCCCCUAUUUUACUCAGACUGAACCUUCUACAAACAUCAGAAAAGCAACAGUAAUAAAGAUGGACAGAAAUUCCAAAAAUAAGGUUAGUUCUUGUUUGUUCCGUAUCAUUCUCUUUACCGUUCCUUUUGGUACUAUACUCCAAAAAAGAGGCAAUCGGAAAUAUUUAGGUCCACUGAAAAGUAAUUCUGGAGCUCGCAGAGUUCUCAUUUUUCAGAUUUGUAGUAGUAUUCGCUUUUGGUUUACAUGAUAUUGGCUGUAUCUCCCUGACAACUGCUCUUUGGUUGGUGUAGGUGUUUUUUUAUGGAUGUACCUGGUUGCGAUGAAGCUAAACAAGAAAUAAUGCUAUCACUUAUUACCUUUGUCCUUCAAAUUUGAGUAUAGGCCUGCGAAAUAAUGAAUAUUUGUGUCUCAUUGCUCCAGCAUGGUCAAUAAAGAUAUGUUGACCCAGGAAAUGUGGGUUUAUCAUAGGUCCUACUGUAUACGUUGAUAUAUGAAAUAUGACAUUUACGGUUAUAUGCUAUCACUUAUUGCCUUUGUCCUUUGCAUUGAGUAUAGGCCUGUGAAAUAAUGGUGUAUUUGUGUGUUGAUUCGUCUGUUUUCCUUCAUGUUCUGGUUCUAAGGUACCAGCACAGACCCAGAGUUAUUUGCAAAAAAAUGCGUUCCAAUGUACCAAUAUUUUGUAUCCUUUCUAAUGCUUAAAAAAGAGGCGAAUAAUUAUUUUAUAAUAUGUAAUAUAUGACAUGUGUAACGCACCUUAAGAGACUACUAAGUUAUCCUGUAUAAUUGGCACGCCCUACUUUUGUAGUAAUAAAUAUAUCAGGUGCUGCUCCAUACAGGUGAUACAUUGCAUUUACCAUAGUAUUUGAUUACAUAUGAUAACAUAAAAUCUGUUUUUUCCUUAGCGGUUCGGCACAUUAGUGCAUAGAAACAGAGUACAGGCAAAUUGAUUAGAUGCAUUAGUUAAGAACACUGAUUUUUUUGGAAAGCUUCAUCAUGACAUCGAUAUUGGUUUCGCCUUACUACCACUCCGAGGUUGGAUGGAGCAUCGAGGAUUUCAGGCUUGGGGUGGCCACGUGUUGCAGGAUAGCAGGAAGAGUUGGAUGUGUUCUGCAGAGACGAGGUGAUCAAUGUCGUUGCCGCCAGGUAGCUGAAGUACAAAACUUCUAAAUUUGCUCAUUUAUUUAUCCUCAUAGUUGGUUCCCUUGAUACUUUUUCUUAGAAACAUGAUCAAAGAUACAAAAAGUUUUACUUCUGAAGCAGAAGUGGUAGUAUAGUGUGCAUGUCGUAUUGCAAGUAGAUUUUAUAGAUACCAAUAGAAAUAAUAACUUGGGAUUUAUUUCUGUUCAACCUCUGUGAUCUAGAUGAGCAAAGCAACAACUUUGGCUUUAUUUCUUUGUGAUGUAGAUGAGAAAAAUAGUACCUUGGAUUUUAAUUCUGUUCUCUAUGAUGUAGAUUAGCAAGAUUUCUAACCAACAAAGUAAUUUAUUUUAGUAUGGUUUUGUCACUAUGAUUGGUAAUAUGAAGUUUAUUUAUUCUAGGUUCCUAUCUUUAGACAGUCACAUCCACGUUCGUACUUUUAGAAUAGUUGUUGCAACGGGGAAGAGCAUUUUUGCAAUAGCAAGAUAUCAGGACCCAAUGGGCAUAGGCCGAACCAACCACCAUCACUAUUAUUUCAGGAUUAGAUAGCCAACUUCCACUCAUGAGGUGAGUUUGCUUACUCUACUUUCAGUGUACUGUGCAGAUAUGUUGGUUAGAAAUUUUGCUAUGUGCCUGUCAAGUUGAUUAGAUAUGAAAAAUAUGCUCUAUAAUACCCACAUAAUACUUGUUUAAAUUGGCUUUUCCCUGGUUCAUCAGUGCACACAUGAAACCGGUAAUAAGAAGAGAAUCACCUGAUUUUUUUAUAGUCUAUUUUAGUAAGCAUGUUCAUAAUAUUAGGAUAGUUUAAUUUGAGAACAAUUGGCUCGAGGAACGAUGUAAUUUGAUACUCUGUUAUGUUGAUCUCCAGAGAAAUUUGGUUUUUGGUUUUUCAUUGAUGUACGUUAAUCUGUUGUGAAUCUUGUUUGCUUGCACCAAUUAUAUGUGUAACAAUUAGAGGGGAAAUUUUGGAACUCAUACAUUCUAUUUCAGUUAAUGUUCAAAGCAACUUUCCUGUGUGAAUCUGAUAAUCUUACUAAAACCUGUGUUUCAUUGUGUAUAUUCAGCCUGUCGAGUCAAGUUUCAGACGAUCAUGUAUCCCCUUGAUAUUCACUGGAUGGAAUCCCCGGUUUUACUCAGACUGAACCUUCUACAAACAUCGGAAAAGCAACAGUAAUAAAGAUGGACAGAAAUUCCAAAAAUAAGGUUAGUUCUUCUUUGUUCCGUAUCAUUCUCUUUACCGUUCCUUUUGGUACUAUACUCCAAAAA